UACGUAGGUGGCAAGCGUUGUCCGGAUUAUUGGGCGUAAAGAGCGUGUAGGCGGCCAGACAGGUCCGUUGUGAAAACUGGAGGCUUAACCUUCAGACGUCGAUGGAAACCGUCUGGCUAGAGUCCGGAAGAGGAGAGUGGAAUUCCUGGUGUAGCGGUGAAAUGCGCAGAUAUCAGGAAGAACACCCGUGGCUAAGGCGGCUCUCUAGUACGGUACUGACGCUGAGACGCGAAAGCGUGGGGAGCGAACAGG
rnacentral:rRNA from 1 species